AUGCGGGACUUGCGCCGACCAUGCCCUCCGCCAACGACCAACGAGCGCCUGUCAUCGUCACCACCUGGAUCCGCUCCACCACAGCUCCAACUUCAAAGCAACCAAGCAACUCACGGAAGAGCACCUCGGACACGCCGGGAAGAACCAACUACCGAAGUCCAAGCCGCGACCCGAGCUCCUCUCGACGCCAUCAUCGUUGCCAACCAGAAACCAGCGCCCCGCCUCAGCAAACCACGCGACGAAGAUGCCACCAUCCACGGCGAAGAUGCCGCAAUCCACCAGUCUCUCGGUCGUAGCCGGCUCCGAGAUGAUGCCCCCAAGAAGGAGAAAGACGCGAAGACGCCUCCAUCGUCCGAUCCAGCGGAUCUGAGGUUUCCCUCCGGAGCCAAAGCCGUGGGGAGGAGCACCUCCACGGCGACACUUCCAUGA
rnacentral:rRNA from 1 species